rnacentral:rRNA from 1 species
UACAGAGGGUGCAAGCGUUGUUCGGAAUUAUUGGGCGUAAAGCGCGUGUAGGCGGCAUGGCAAGUCGGGUGUGAAAGCCCUCAGCUUAACUGAGGAAGUGCGCCCGAAACUGCCGUGCUUGAGUGCCGGAGAGGGUGGCGGAAUUCCCCAAGUAGAGGCGAAAUUCGUAGAUAUGGGGAGGAACACCGGUGGCGAAGGCGGCCGACC